GAAGAUCAAACACAAAGAUUGACACGGUGAUUUUUGGCAUGGUUCCGAUAGGUGGUGCUAUCGUAUGUCAAUGUUAGUGGAGACUUCAACCCACGAAGGGUAACAGAUGCGAGAGUCCACGGAGGGCUCCGCCCAUAAGGGGUCCACGAAGAAGCGGCCUUGUCUAUUCCAUCACGACUUCCGUCCACACAGGACUAGCCUCACUCAUGACAGAUCAUCAUGAAGUAGGCGAUCUCCUUGCCCUUACAUACUUCUUGGUUCAACUCCACAACAUGAAGUAGGAGGCUCCGAAGCGACACCUAACCAAUCAAGAAGGCACCACCCUCGAAAAGUUAAUGAAUAUGGUAGAACGAUGAACUCCUUGCUCUUGUGCUUCAAAAGAUAGUCUACUCACCCUUGGCCGCACCCCGCAACACGCCUUCGCUCUUCACCC
rnacentral:lncRNA from 1 species